AACUCAGCCAGAAAGGCUUCAGUUUCUAUACACAUAUAUUUUUGUUUUGUCACCAACCAUUUUUUCCUAUAAAUCAGAGCCUUUCUAUUAAAUUAUUAAAAUUUUAAAAAACUUUGUCUUAAAAUUUAGUGCUUUUUUUUCUUUCUUUGUGCUUAGUUCAAAUGGUGAAAUUAUCUCUACACUUUCUUGCAUUUUGCAUCAUAGCAAAUUUCACCAAUUUAUUUAAUUCCCCAAUUUCAAUUCAUGCACUUAAUGUUGGUGUUGAAACUAAUGCUGGCCUCUCCUUGGAAAAAGAAUGCAGUAGAACAUGUGAAUCAAAGUUUUGUGCAGUUCCUCCAUUUCUAAGAUAUGGUAAAUAUUGUGG